GACGAACGCUGGCGGCGUGCUUAACACAUGCCAGUCGAACGGAAAGGCCCUGCUUUUGUGGGGUGCUCGAGUGGCGAACGGGUGAGUAACACGUGAGUAACCUGCCCUUGACUUUGGGAUAACUUCAGGAAACUGGGGCUAAUACCGGAUAGGAGCUCCUGCUGCAUGGUGGGGGUUGGAAAGUUUCGGCGGUUGGGGAUGGACUCGCGGCUUAUCAGCUUGUUGGUGGGGUAGUGGCUUACCAAGGCUUUGACGGGUAGCCGGCCUGAGAGGGUGACCGGCCACAUUGGGACUGAGAUGAGGCCCAGACUCCUACGGGAGGCAGCAGUGGGGAAUAUUGCACAAUGGGCGGAAGCCUGAUGCAGCAACGCCGCGUGCGGGAUGACGGCCUUCGGGUUGUAAACCGCUUUCGCCUGUGACGAAGCGUGAGUGACGGUAAUGGGUAAAGAAGCACCGGCUAACUACGUG
rnacentral:rRNA from 1 species